AGGUUAACCGUAUAGGGGAGCCGUAGAGAAAUCGAGUCUUAAUAGGGCGUUUAGUUGCUGGGUAUAGACCCGAAACCAGGCGAUCUAUCCAUGAGCAGGUUGAAGGUUGGGUAACACUAACUGGAGGACCGAACCCACUGUCGUUGAAAAGCCAGGGGAUGACUUGUGGAUAGGGGUGAAAGGCUAAUCAAGCCUGGUGAUAGCUGGUUCUCCCCGAAAGCUAUUUAGGUAGCGCCUCGGACGAAUACCAUAGGGGGUAGAGCACUGUUUCGGCUAGGGGGUCAUCCCGACUUACCAAACCGAUGCAAACUCCGAAUACCUAUGAGUACUAUCCGGGAGACAGACUGCGGGUGCUAACGUCCGUAGUCAAGAGGAAAACAAUCCAGACCGCCAGCUAAGGCCCCAAAAUCAUAGUUAAGUGGGAAACGAUGUGGGAAGGCAUAGACAGCUAGGAGGUUGGCUUAGAAGCAGCCACCCUUUAAAGAAAGCGUAAUAGCUCACUAGUCGAGUCGGCCUGCGCGGAAGAUGUAACGGGGCUAAAACUAUGUGCCGAAGCUGCGGAUGUAUACUUUGUAUACGUGGUAGGGGAGCGUUCUGUAAGCCGAUGAAGGUGUGUUGAGAAGCAUGCUGGAGGUAUCAGAAGUGCGAAUGCUGACGUGAGUAACGACAAAACGGGUGAAAAACCCGUUCGCCGAAAGACCAAGGGUUCCAGUCCAACGUUAAUCGGGGCUGGGUGAGUCGACCCCUAAGGCGAGGCCGAAAGGCGUAGUCGAUGGGAAAAUGGUUAAUAUUCCAUUACUUCUGUGUAAUGCGAUGAGAGGACGGAGAAGGCUAAAUCAGCCUGGCGUUGGUUGUCCAGGUGAAAGGAUGUAGGCAUGUAUCUUAGGCAAAUCCGGGGUACUCUAUGCUGAGAUCUGAUAGCAAGCUGUACUUGUACAGCGAAGUGGUUGAUGCCAUGCUUCCAGGAAAAGUCUCUAAGCUUCAGUUACACAGGAAUCGUACCCGAAACCGACACAGGUGGUCAGGUCGAGUAGACCAAGGCGCUUGAGAGAACUCUGCUGAAGGAACUAGGCAAAAUGGUACCGUAACUUCGGGAGAAGGUACGCUGUUGUUGGUGAUGGAACU
rnacentral:rRNA from 1 species